UUAACACCCAUGGAUGAUCACUGCUAUUACGAGAGACUCCAAACCAUGACAGAAGAGACAGGGAGCCCAGAAAUUUCUAUGGGAAUCAGAGUGAACGCCCUGCAAAAGAAACUCAAUAAACAACUUGGCAGGAUGACCAUCCAGUGUGUCGGAAUCCAUGCCAUAGAACAAGGACUCGAAGAACGGUUGCUAUGGAAGCUACAAGAAAAAGAAUAGCAUGGAGUACACUACUCAGCCAAAAAAAACAAUGGUGAUCUGACAUCUCUUGUAUUAUCCUGGAUGGAGCUGGA